AUACUUACCUGGCAGAGAGAUACCAUGAUCACAAAGAUGGUUUUCCCAGGGUGAGGCUCAUCCAUUAUACCCCAGGUGUGCCGACCCCUGAGAUUGCCCCAAAUUUGGAAACUCAACUGCAUAAUUUGUGGUAGUGGGGCACUGUGUUCAUGCUCUCCCCUG
ensembl:snRNA U1 U1 spliceosomal RNA